CUUCUCUGCUAACCAGUUCUACCAUGUGGGUGCCAUGUUCUUUACGGAAAGGGAGCAGCCAUCUUCCCAACCAGUCCAGAAAGAUGACAUCAACUCUGAUCCAAAGGAAUGACAAGUACCUCCUGCGCACGUCUUUGCAUCUUUAUUUUUCUAUCAGAUGGAUUAGUGAAAAGUUGAGAGAUCCUCUCGUUACUAGUUGAUAGAUUCUAGUCUUUAGAUUAUAGAUCUUGUUAGUAUCUAGAAAUAUUUAUCCUAAAUUCCUGAACACAUAUGAAAGAAAUCAUGUUUUUCACUGAAUGAGUAUUCCAGUUUUAGUUGACUUCAUCACUUUUUAAGUUGUUAUAGUCAUAUAGAUUUAUUUAUCUAGCUGCAGGGGUGUGGAUAAUCGCCCACCUGGUGGUUUCCUAAGCUAUUUCAAUCACCCAUGGAGUCAACCACUUCCCCAGCCGAUCCCACCACAUUUAACUGAUGGAAAUAGAGGGAAAGGGAGCCCAGCAGUGUCAGUUUCUGCGUCUCAACCCGAGCCCUUGAUCAAUUUAGACAAUGAUAAGGAUGACAAAAAUGGUGCUAGGAUUGACAUACGGCUAAAAUGGAUGAAGCCGGAGGAAGUGCGCUUGGUGGGUGCAUGGUUGAACAAUUCAAACGAUCCAAUCAAUGGCAACGGCAAGAAGACUGAUCGGUACUGGGGAGAUGUUGCUAAUGAGUAUAAUAGUACCACCCCUAAAAGUAGAAGAAGAACAGCAAAGCAAUUGAAGGAUCACUUCCAAAAAAUUAAGAAAAAAGUCACUUGGUUCUGCAGCUCAUGGAAAGAGGCUAUAUCAAUUUGGCCUAGUGGUCAUUCUGAUGACCAGAUAAUGGAGAAGGCUGAAGCUAUCUAUGAGGAAUACAAAGAUGGUCCAUUUACGUUCAAGCAUUGUUGGAAAAUUCUACGUGAUGAACCAAAGUGGCAAGUGCAACUAGAGGAAGGGGCGCAGUCAAGCACUUGGCAUUUAUGAGAUGUGUGAGGGAGAGUAUAUUUGGCAAAACUGAAUUAGAUGCAAAUGGCAGCUCUUAAAAAGAAUCGGGUUCCUGAUGGGGGUUCUUCCUGAAGACCUGAAUAUCAUCAACGACUGCUGGUCAUCAAGAGAUAUGGCUAAAUAAAUUGAUAAACGAUGGAUGCUAGAUUUAUUACCAAGUCAUUAGUGUAAUAGCUGCUCAUGGUAGUAGCCUUCUUUUGUUGAUCAAGUUUCAGUUGCACUGCAGACCAUGUUUUAUACAUUAAGCUUUUUAGUUUGUGUGGGUCGUCCUUGGUCUAUCUGAUGAUAUGAACUUGGUUGUAAGAGCCAUUAUAUUUUACCAAGGAACAAUAUCGUUGCUUAU